ensembl:lncRNA
GUCCAAAGGACCUGGAGAGGAAAUGCAAGACUUGCUUUAUGCCUUUUCUUCAGGUCUAUCCUCUUGAGAGUGAGCCCUAUCCCCUGUGGGUUCACCUCAGGGUGAAUACCUAAGAAUGGAUUUACAGGCUCAAAGGGAAUGCAUAUUUAAGUGCUUAGCAAUUGCCUAAGAACUAAACGCGGGUGCAGGAGGGCCAAGAGAAGCUACUCCACGUUCAAGGUCAGGAGGGGCUGCUGUGAGGAGAUACCCCUCGUCCAAGCCAAAUAGUAAAGCACUACAACGAAAAGAGAAAUCUGAGGAUAAAUACCCAUAUUCUUCCUCCCCUACAAAUGAGGUCCUGGUAAGGAACAUGGAACUAAUAAGCCACCACCAACUGAAAGAGUUUGGGAAAGAUCAAAAGGAGACACCACAUGUCCAACCACCUCCCAGAAUCCUCUCUGGCAUCCAUCUUUGCUGAACAAGGCUUGCACUACCAGGAAGGACUCUGAGUCAGAAUGAUUGGUUAAAGACAAUCUGGAAACUAAUCCCAUCACCAUAAAACCUGAGACUACCAGCCAUGUGGCAGAGCAGUUCUCCUGGGUUCCCUUACCCUACUGCUCUCCACCCCAGCACCCUUUCCAAUAAAAUCUCUUGCUUUGUCAGCA